rnacentral:lncRNA from 1 species
CCCCUUGUACUUGGAGGAACUGACCCCUGAAAACUGUGCGGCCGGUUGGGCUGAGCGUCUAGAGGGACUGAGCUGGACAACCACGGGCAAGCGAGGGCAGCUCCCAGCGGGUGGAGUCCGCGCGGGAUUCUGGUGCCACCUAGACGCCAGGGCGGGGACCGCAAGGCAAGGGCAACAGAAAACGCAAAGUGUCCUUUCCAGGAGGGCCAAAGGAGGGGGGCAGGGACGCUGGGAAGAGGCGCCAAAGCGGAGGACGGCUGCAGGGGUGACUUCAGCGCUUGGCUACCAAGACCAGGUGUUUCUCUUCCUCCUGCCCUGGGUACCAUCCCACAGAGAGGCCAGGCCCACCUGCAGGUCCUCACCUCCACAGAGCCAGCCUCUCUUGAGCAGCUCCGCUCUGCCUUCUGAUACUCAUCGCCACAAGCACCUUGUCCUUCCUCGGCCUCCCACUCCCUCCCUCUGAGCCCGCGCCCUGCUCCCCUGCCUGGCGGUCAGUCGACUGCCCCGCCCCGCCUCCAAUUCAGGUGGACAGGCUUCAGCGUCCACUACCGGGGAAGAGGCAGCCCCGCACCCGUGCCUCCCCCCGCCUCUGGGCCGCUCCUUCCCAGCCUGAGCCUGACCGCAUGAGGAAGGCACAACCUCUCUGCUCCAGAGACCUGGAGAGGCCGGGAGGCCCUGUCCUGGGCAUGGAAGGCAGGAGGGAGCCCUGAGUGCGGCAGGAGGGAAGCAGCGCUUCAGGGGAAGGAUCUAAUGGCUGUGACCUGCGUGGGCUGCAGAAAAGAAAUCUCUAAUGCACUGAUGAAUGGAGGAAGGGCAUCACCAAGCCGGUCGGUAUAGGAAGGGGACCCAACAGACAUUCAACUCUUUGGUAACCCUCCCUUCACGCCCAAUUCCAGAAUGCUUUCUGUUGCUACCAUAUCUAUGCUUUUCAGGGGAUUAUGCACUGUAAAUUGAUUUGCUUAUCACUGGCUUUCUCCACCACUGGCUCAGUGAGAUUCAACUUUUUCAGCUCUGCUAAAUCUUCCAAGGUCUCCAUCUGCUUUCUGGGUUCAAAUAUUUCAUUGGCUCCUCUCCUGGUCUUCCCGAGCUUGUGGAUUUGUCUUCUAAACAAAUCCCUUUACUGUUGCUUUUGAGAAAGUUGAGAGUAUCUUCUAUUUUUCUAAUAUUUGCAGCAUCUAUAAUAUCCUUUUAAUUCCCUGUGUACUUAAAAAAAUUAAUAUUUGUCAAUUUUUCUUUAAAAGAACCAACUUCUGGCUUCGUUGAUGCUAUGCUUAAUUUCUGUGCAUAUCUACUUCCUUUAGGUUUAUUUUGCUGUUCUAAUUUCUUGAAACAGAUGUUUAGCUCAAUUUUCAGCCUUUAUUACAUCCUAGUAUAACUUUGAUAUUUAGAUUUAGAAUUUACAUUCUAUUAUUCAGAACUAAUUAAAAUUCUAUAAUCUUAAUACAUUAAUGUAAUAAUUUAAUGCUGUAAAACCUUUAAAUUACUGUUGCAGCUGCAUCCCUCGUUUUGACAUAUUUUUAUUAUUGUUCAGGUUAAAUUUCCUUCAUGAUUUCUUCUUGGACCCAUGAGUUAAUUUCUAAACAUACAGAGGUCGUCUUGUAAUCUUUUAAUUUUGGUUUCUAACUUAAUUGCACUGUGGUUGGAGUGUGGUCUACGUGGUAACAACCCUUUCAAAUUUGUUGAGAUUGACUCUACCGUCCAGUAUAUGGUCGCUUUUUGAAAAAGUUCCAUAGGUGAUCAAAAUGAAUGUGCAGUUGUUAGAUGCAAUUUUUUUUUUAACAGGUUUAUGCUCGGUCAUUGGUUUCCACACAUCUGUGCUUUCAGGAUGAAGAUGUGGUCUUCUAAACACGUCCAUUUUACCAAACUUGCUAAAUGUUUAAAUCUCUUAUAUACUUUCCUGAAUUUUUUGUUGCUUGGUCUACAUGAAGCAUAUUAAAAUCUCCCACUAUGAUGCUGGAUUUCUUAUUUUUCCAUAUAGCUGUUUUUGUUUUACAUAUUUUGAGGCAAUGUUAUUAGGUGCAUAACUUAGAAUCUUUGUUUUUCUGAAGAAUUGGGUAAGCAUAUCAUUAUGUAGUGGUUCGAUCUGUAGUAAUGCUUUUUGUCUUAAAGCCUAUUUCCAGGGCUGUGGUGUUCCACAGCUCCAGGGAGGACAUUCACAUUACAGUUUAUGCAAAUAAACUGAAAUUAGACAGUCUGUUUCGUUACUUUGGAGUGGCCUUAAUUCUGUGGGUUAUGAGUAUAACUUCUCAGUUUUAUUUUGGUUAGUAUCUGCCUGAUGUAUCUUUUCCAUCCUUUCUUAUAUUGUAGGUUGCCUAUGUCUCUCUCUUGUCAUCACAUAUGGCUGGAUUUCUUUUAAAAAUACAGUUUGGCAUUUUUUUUUUCGGGAACAUUUAGUCCAUUUACAUAUAAUUAUUGGCACAUUUAGAUUUCUCUCUACUAUCUUGUUUUGGAUGCUCUAUUUGUCCUGCCUUUUCUUUACCCUAUCUUGUCUUCUUGACUGAUUGCAUUUUUCCAUUCUAUUUAUUCUUGAUUGAAAACUGUAUCCUCUGCUUAUUUUUAGUAGAUACUAUAGAAGUUUUUGGCACAGGUUUACAUACCAAAGUCUGAAGUUAAACAAUGUAUUUAUCUUCUUCCUGAAAGACACAAGGAUCUUAGAGUAUGUUCAUUCCAAUUACCUCCCCUCCCUAGUUAUCUGCUACCUUCAUGGAUUUUCGUUUUACCUUUUUUCCAACCCUGUUAAGACUCUUCUACAGUUGCUUUUUGUGUAGCUGACCAACAUAACAAUCAUGUUCUUUAUUCUACAUUCCUUGAUACAUUUCAACCCUUCCAUACUGAUCACUUCCCUUCUGUUGGGGCAAAUUCAGUUUUUUUUGUGAAAAUGUUUUCUAUUUUACCCUUGUUCUUGAAAGGGUGGCCCAAUCUCAGUAAGAUAACUUACUGACCUAUUCUAAGGCUGGGCCCAACAGAGCCUCACUCCCCACCCUUGUAGGGACCCUGGAUCUGGGUAGAACAUUUAUGCGGUAGGGGAACAGUCCUUCUUAAACAGGCGCUUGGAAGCCCUUUGCAGAUGCCGGUGAGAAUCGGCGGUCUGGGAAAGAGUACACAUCUUGCAGAGAAGCUGAAGAGGGAAGCCCUUUUCCUGUUUUUUCACUUUCAAGAACAUGAGCCACCUGGCUGCUUUCUUUUGUAGAUAAACAAACACUUCUCAGACAGAUCACAUAAAUCAGCUUAUUCUCAUUUAGCAAAGUUUUUAUUCAAAAGCUUCUCAGCACCAUCUAGUUAUCAGAAAGAAUGGAUAUCACCUUUUCCUGCCCACCCAAUCCCCAGUUCCACAGGCAGAAGUUAAACCAUUUGGCUAGAGUUCCCCCUAAUGAUUAUGACUGAGACCAUGAUAAGAUUUUGGUUGUUCUCACCCAACUGUCUCUAAGCCUCUACUCAAACCUGACUCAAGCAGAGAUGUGCACACCCCACAGUUCAGAACAGGAAGGAAUCAUGUCAGAUCUGAUCAACCUCCCAUUCUUGGGCUAUUAGAGGCACAAGAAAUUACCUUGAAAAAAUGGAAUUCAGUGACUGCCAUCUAGGAAAGACAGUGAUACUGUCCAGCAGCAUGCAGUUCCGAGAGCUCAACUCUUAGGCCACCCUCCCUCCACUCUACUCUAGGAACAAGGAGCAUUAGGUCUGUUUUCUCUCCAUACACCUCAAUCGCUCGUCCUCUCGUCUUAUUAAAACACAGACACAGAACCAAACUUUUUGACAGUUAAAGACAAACAAUUACAUCUAAUUAAAAUGCUAAGAGAUCCUGAGCUGUUAGAGAUGAGGAGAGUAGAUAGUAUGACCUGAUCUUCCCCCCUCUUUUUUUUCCUUU